UUUAAGCGCAACCAUAAAUUUCCAUGUCCAACUUCGAUUAUCCAUCGUAUUAUUUUUUUUAUGAUUAGUAUUUUUAUUGUUAUUAGAUGAUAAAACAUAAAUAGUACUUAUGUUUUUUUAUUUUUUUUAAAUAAGACCCUAUUAUGUUUUUUUUAUGUUUUAAAUAAAACACUAUUAAAGUUGGAAACGAAAACUCAUGACUGCGCUCAAA
rnacentral:pre_miRNA from 1 species